rnacentral:rRNA from 1 species
UACGGAGGGUGCGAGCGUUGUCCGGAAUCACUGGGCGUAAAGGGCGCGUAGGCGGCGCGGGAAGUCAUCGGUGAAAGUUCAGGGCUCAACUCUGAAUCGGCCGGUGAUACUCUCGUGCUUGAGCACUGUAGAGGCAGGCGGAAUUCCGGGUGUAGCGGUGGAAUGCGUAGAGAUCCGGAAGAACACCGGUGGCGAAGGCGGCCUGCUGGGCAGUUGCUGACACUGAGGCGCGACAGCGUGGGGAGCAAACAGG